rnacentral:rRNA from 1 species
GACGAACGCUGGCGGCGUGCCUAAUACAUGCAAGUAGAACGCACAGUUUAUACCGUAGCUUGCUACACCAUAGACUGUGAGUUGCGAACGGGUGAGUAACGCGUAGGUAACCUGCCUGGUAGCGGGGGAUAACUAUUGGAAACGAUAGCUAAUACCGCAUAAUAUUAAUUAUUGCAUGAUAAUUAAUUGAAAGGUGCAAUUGCACCACUACCAGAUGGACCUGCGUUGUAUUAGCUAGUAGGUGAGGUAACGGCUCACCUAGGCGACGAUACAUAGCCGACCUGAGAGGGUGAUCGGCCACACUGGGACUGAGACACGGCCCAGACUCCUACGGGAGGCAGCAGUAGGGAAACUUCGGCAAUGGACGAAAGUCUGACCGAGCAACGCCGCGUGAGUGAAGAAGGUUGUCGGAUCGUAAAGCUCUGUUGUAAGAGAAGAACGGGUGUGAGAGUGGAAAGUUCACACUGUGACGGUAUCUGACCAGAAAGGGACGGCUAACUACGUG